rnacentral:rRNA from 1 species
UGCUCCAAUAGCGUAUAUUAAAGUUGUUGCAGUUAAAAAGCUCGUAGUAGAACUUCUGGUUGUGUACGACUGGCCCAGGGCCACCGUGUCAUUGAGUGCUGGUUCGUGCACGCCAUCCUGCUGGAAAACGGCUCUACCCUUGACUGGGCCGGGGUCGGGCUCCAGCUCGUUUACUUUGAAAAAAUUAGAGUGUUCAAAGCAGGCAACUCGCUUCUGAAUACAUUAGCAUGGAAUAAUGAGAUAGGACUUCGGUGCUGUUUCGUUGGUUUUUGGCGCAGAAGUAAUGAUGGAUAGGGAUAGUUGGGGGUGCUAGUAUUCAGCGGCCAGAGGUGAAAUUCUUGGAUUCGCUGAAGACUAACUUAUGCGAAAGCAUUCACCAAGGAUGUUCUCUUUUAUCAAG